AUGGUUGACUCUCUCUCCUCCACCUUGGUGACCUGUAGCAGUCUGAUUGGACAAGCUGGCUCCCUUCAGUCCAUCACCCAGCAACUGUCUGAAAUAGAACAGAGGCUACUGAAGGAGCAUUUUAAAGGAACUAUCACCACUGAGGACCUACACACCAUCAUACACAGUGUGGUGGUGACCGUAGUGGAGGAGGUCAACGGGAUCCUCAUCCCAGCCAUCAUGGCCUUCGAGUAUGAGCGCCUAACAGGCUCCGUCAGCUCCAGUGACAUACCCAGCAGUGACGUACCCACCUACAGCAGCCCCUCCUCCUCUGACUACUACCAGACAUCCUCCUUCAGCACUAGCCUGCAGUCCUCCUCCCCUCAGAUAGGGCUGUCCAGCAAUACACCUACACCUCCCAUCAUGCCGUUCCAAACUACUACCGGUGUCAUCAGACAUGGGACAUUGACCGUGAGCUUUCCUGAAGAGGCUGAUCGAGAGUCUGAGAGAGAAACUGAGGGAGAGGCAUCUCUCUCAGUGGACCUGGCUGCCUCCAGUAGCACAAGCCCUUCUGAAAACCAAUCCUCGCCUUUAGAGACAAGUCCUCUCUGCUUGGGGUCUUCAGGAACCAGUCUGGGGGCUUUAGGAACCAACCUGCUGGUGAAGGUCGAGGCCGUUAUUCAGGAGGUGAUAAGGGGAGCCGUAGAUAAACUAGAGGACGAGAGGAACAACAGGCACGGAAGAAGGGUGAGAAACAUGAGUCCUAAGGAAAAGGCUGAGAGGGUCUCCAAGAGUACUGAGGCUGCAUCAAGAGAUAGUAGUGGUGGGAGGAGAGUCAGGGGAGUGGAGAACAAUGGUAAGAAGGUGGAGACUGUUGCAGAUAGAGUGGCAAAGACAGAAGUGUCGACUAUUGCAGACACAACAGCCAAGACUGAACUUCUGACUAUUGAAGAUACAAUGGCUAAACUGGAGAUAAAGAAAGUAGAGAUUAUUGCUGAUAUGAUACCCAAGACUGCAAGUAAGGAGGUGGCCACUGUUGUGGAACUGAUGGAAAAGUAUACUCUUGCAGAUGUGAUGGCAAGGACUGAAAUUACAGAGGUGCCAAUUAUUGCAGGUACAACAGCCAAGAAUGAAGUUCAGGAAGUGGAGACUAUUGCAGAUGUAACGGUCAAGACCAAAAUUAAGGAAAUAGUUGAGAUUAACAAGAGGGACACCCAAGAGACAAAGGUAAAGGCUAGUUUUGAGACAGAGGUCAAGCUGACUAAAAGGUUGGACAUUGACAUUAAAACAGAAGAAGCCAAUGCUGAGAUGAACGCAGGUGAACAAGACAAUACCAUAUCGGAGAAUAACAGCAGGUGCUAUGAGCUUAUUCUAACAGCUGGAGAGUCCAAGAUAGAAGUCAGAGAUGAGAAAAUAGAAUGCAAGGUAGAACUCAGGGAUGAGAAUAUUGAUGCAAGGAAUGAAACUAUGGAUGCAAAGUAUUCUGUUGAGAAUGCACAGGCUGAGAAAAGUGAACACAGCCACAGAAGCCCUGAGCUAUUUAAGUCAUCAUCAGACAAUGAUGAAGGUGGUCCUUCGAUGUUCCCCAUGACCAGCCUGUUGAAGAGCGCUGCCCUGUCCUCGGACCAGGUUGAUGAGAUCCUAGACAAGGUGAUCGAUGUCCUGACUGGGGAGGGCCACAAGGUCAUCUUCUCAGAGUACAGGCCAAGUAUGACCUCAAGCCCAGACUCCACGGUGUGUAUUGCCUCAAGCCCAGAAUCUAGACCAGGUCUUACCUCUACUCCAGUGGACAGAGCAAGCAGUUCCUCCAUCCCUGAGGCCAGACCAAGCAGUUCUUCUGCCACCCCAGGGUCCAGCCCCAGCAGUGAGUCCCUGUGCUGCAUGUCUGGCGCCCACGAUCAGGAGAUCCAUGUCCAAUGCCCAUCUGACCCACCUGGUAAGCUCCUAGGAGGCCAGGCCAGCACCCUGAAGUCUCAAAACUCACUGCUGCUCAAUGAAAAGGAUCUGUCAGACAGGGAGCUAAUCCCCUAUGCCAACAGCAUUAUCAACAUUAUCAUGCAGAAGAUGCACCAUGACGAUGACCUUUACGAGUCCGUGGGUGGCCAGAAACCACUGUCCCCAAGAAGGCGAUCAUGCCCAGCUCUUCUGUCACAAUACUCUCCUCAGGACAACUCCGAGAUCCCUGUGCUUUACAUCCCCAAGAGGGCUGAUCGGAAAUCACUGAAGUCAGUUGAUCCGAAGGCCCUGAGAGUAGUCAGGUGGGUGCUGCAGACCAUCCAUAGACGCCAUGGGUGGCUGGGUCAGACUAACGGCCACAGCAGACAGGCCAAAGAAAGCUUGCUGCUCUGUGAUGUCAUCCAGGUCCUGCUUGAGAAGCUCGACCACAAGAUGGUCACUACUGGAGAUCUACAGGUGGCACCUACCCAAACACAUGCGCUACAUACUGACGACCGCUUCAAGACGAAGUUGCAGGAGGCUACAGUUGAACCCAUCAGCGAUAUCAUCGGAUAUCUGUCCAUCAAUCUGUUGAGGUCCGAGUCUUGCUUCGUGCCCAAGAAGAGAUGGUCAUCGUCAAGCACCCUGGCUAAGAGCAUCUCGAUGACCAACUUGGGGAGCCGAGCUGUGGCUUCGGCUGUGGCCAUGGACAUCAGCUCCAAUGUGGUUGAGAAGCUUAAAGAGGCCUCAGGUAGCAGCAAGACCACUUGCUCGAUGUCUAGCCUUCGGGACUUUGUCAGAGCCAUGACCGUCAGCCAUCCAGAGCUCAGCCAGCAGGCCACCUCGUGUGGGUCAAACAUUCACAACGUCUACAGGGAGGUUCUGGAGAUGGUUGUGACCAAGCUGAGGAGUUUUGUCACCAAAGGGGGAUCAUUUCACAAGCCCACAGAGCACUUAGCGCAGAAGAUGGCGGAGAGCUGCCUGGAGGUAGAAUGUGCUUUCAUGGAGAUUCUGCAGACACUUAAGAGUCAUGGAACAGGCGAUGAGGCAUGCAGCACCUGGGCAGUUGACUGCAUGUCCACGACUAUCUCUGACACCAUGUUUAAACGUGUGACUGAGGGGGGCCAUCCUCCUCAUCACACUCAUGUCUCUGGGGCAACGGUCACAAACUGUGGUCCAAUCAGAAUCAGUGAUGUUAACCAGCAGCGGCCUAUCAAGAUCAAGGCUAGAAUGUCCAGGUCCUCCGUGAACCUGCUACAAAACACUGUGGAAAAGUUUGUGUAUAAGCUGACGGGUGAGCGGGUGUCCAUCCCAGAACUAGGAGAAGGAAUGUCUACUUCUACAAGUCCCCAGCAAGGAAAGGAUCCUGAGAACCUACAUAGGCCACAGGGGGUCCAGAGGAGAUUCACUACUGAGUCUCCCUCCGAGCUCUCGCCACGGAGCCAACUGAAACGGGAGGAGCUCAUUAGUACGCUGUGUACAUUGAUGACCAAAUCCAUCAUUAGCUCCUUGUCUUUGGAUAGUGAUUUUCAGGUUCCAGUUGACGCAGUCUCGGAUACAAAGGAAAGCAGAGCUUCUGCUGUGAAGUUGGGUACGAAUACCAGAACACUGGUGCCAAUGCCACCUCCUCGCCCCACCCUCACUAAAAGCCAGAGGGAUAAUAAGCCUGGCCAAGAGGACAGCAGGAGGAGAAUCCGACCUCUACGUACUCUUCAGGCUGCCAAGAGGGUGGUCAGCUCCAUGGACUUGGAUAUUUCCAGGACCACUAGUAGAAGCAGUGGGAUGGUGGCUCGGCUGGCUUGUCCAGUCAAGAGCAACAACAGUCUCGUCAGCGAGCCUCCAAGCCCCUCUGCAGCCACCUCAAACACAUCCCUAGCAGCCUCUGAGAUCACUGAGAAUUUGAUGUGUAAGCUCCUCCAGGGGGAUUCUCCAGACUUCAUGUCAUCCAGCAAACACACCAGCCCAAGCCCCAGAGGAACAGCAGUGACAACAUUCAACUAAUGGAACUGCAGAAACCUCGUUUUCUAAAUAUCUAGGCUUAAUAAAAAUAAUUUUGCAAUGACAUUAUUU
rnacentral:lncRNA from 8 species